UACCUAUGUCAUCUAGGUAUUUUAUUAAGGAGCUUAUAGUUAUUGAUAUUUAUAUUUGAGAACUAACAGAAUUUCAAAGCUUAGUCCUUUUCCCCUCUGAGUGUUCUUUGUGGUUCUACAUUGCCCUUUUUGUGCGAGAGGUAAUCAUAGCAAAGGACAACAAAUAGACUCAACAAACAAUGACAGGGAAACAACAGUGAAACCCAACUAUUGUCAAGCAUCAAGUGUCCUUUACAAUUGGCAGAAUACUCCAUCAAGCAAUAGGCUCAACAAAGAACGAAGGGGAAACAACAAUUGAGCAUUGGGUCGGUGGGUCCACGCCUCAACCAAAUGCAACAAGCAAAAUUAUAUCAAGAUCCUCAACUACCUAAAUACUCCAAUUCCCUGCAAGAGCCCACUGGCAGGAAACAAAAUGGAGAAAUGAACCAAAAAUUCCCUAGAUAUGAAUAAAGAAAAUAAAAUUCAAUGGAGGGCUCAAUGCAG
rnacentral:misc_RNA from 1 species